ACUCAAAUGAAUUGACGGGGACCCGCACAAGCGGUGGAGCGUGUUCUUUAAUUCGAUGCUAAACGAAGAACCUUACCAGGGUUUGACAUCCUUGGAAUUACUCCGAAAGGAGUGAGUACUUUAUUGGACCAAGUGACAGGUGUUGCAUGGCCGUCGUCAGCUCGUGUCGUGAGAUGUUUGGUUAAGUCCAUCAACGAGCGCAACCCUUAUGAAUAGUUGAAUUUUUCUAUUCAGACUGCCCCGGUAACGGGGAGGAAGGGGGGGAUGAUGUCAGGUCAGUAUUACCCUUAUAUCCUGGGCUAGAAACGCGCUACAAUGGUCGGUACAACGAGAAGCCAACCCGCGAGGGGGAGCAAAUCUCAUCAAAGCCGAUCCCAGUUCGGAUUGGAGGCUGAAACUCGCCUCCAUGAAGUCGGAAUCGCUAGUAAUCGCAGGUCAGCAAACUGCGGUGAAUACGUUCCCGGGUCUUGUACACACCGCCCGU
rnacentral:rRNA from 1 species